GCCUGGCUAGCUCAGUUGGUAGAGCAUGAGACUCUUAAUCUCAGGGUCAUGUGUUUGAGCCCCAUGUUGGUUUGGCA
rnacentral:tRNA from 1 species